rnacentral:lncRNA from 1 species
CCGAAUAUCAUGUGGACUCUAUGGCUAGGGUUUGUUCAUUCUUUCAAGCUUCAUGGUAAGUCCGUUCUAGCCCCGUUUUUCUUGUUCUUUAUAUUUUUAGAAUCCCACUUGCUUAAGCUAUUUCUAUCAUUAAUUCGAGCUAGAAAUUAUGUUUGAAAAAUUACCCAUAGAUGAAAAGUGUGAAUUUUGAUGUUUCAUGAUAGAAUAUGAAGCUUAGAAUUAUGUUAAACGAUUUUCAGCAAAAACGAGUGAAACGGUAUAAUUGUUAAAAAUUAUUAUUGUUCAUAAGUGCACUUUAGAGAAAUAAUUUUAUGUUGCUAUAGAAGGAAAUAUUGUUCAGCAUGUCAUAAAGCAUAAGAAAAAUGAAUAAAAUUUAAUUUCCGAGCCUAGGGGCAAAAUCAUAAUUUUGUGAAAUUUUAGGGGCAAAAAUGUAAGUUUUCCAAAAUGUGAUUUUUGGACUGGAUUGAAUAAUGUGAGUGUAAAAUAAGUUAAAUGUGUUAUUAUAAGUCAAGAAAGACAAGGAAUUGACUUUGAUUAGUGAAAAAGAAAAAAAUGAGAAAAAGUGAGAAAUUCCCCAAUUGAAUAUUCGAAAUAAAAAGGGAUACGAAUGAAGUAACAGAAAUGAUCACAUGUGUGACAUGGACUGUGUGUAGGUCACUGUGUGAAAGUGAAAGUGAUGGUCACGUGUGUAGUACUAUGUGUAGGCUACUACGUGUACCGGAAUGAAAGGUUGCAUGUGUAGUACUAUGUGCAGGCUACUAUGCGCACCGGAAAGCUUCGAUCAUGUGUGUAGUACUAUGUGCAGGCUACUACGUAAACCAGAAAGUUUGAUCACAUGUGUAGUACUAUGUGAAGGCUACUACGUGUAUCGAAUGAUAAUAGUUAAAUGAGUGGUACUAUGUGCAAACCACCGAAUGCUCACUAUUAUACCGACAUGUUUAACGGGAUAUAAGAAAUUGCAAACCAAUAAGAAUAUGUGAUUGAAAUGCGAUGAGUUGCAAAAGAGUCACUGGAGUGAUGAAGUUUUGUACCGUGCUUACAAAAUAAAUUGUUAUAAUGUUACGUGAAUGAGUGAAUUUGAAACAGAACAGAUUUGGACAGUGACAGUGAUGUUAGUUUGAAAAAUCACCAAAAAUUAUAGAAAUUGAUAUAGUGGUUGAGUGAGAUAUGGAAUUAAAGCUUAAUGAGUCUAUUUUUACAUAAAAGAAACAAAGCAAGCAAAAGAGUUAUACAUUUUGAGAUAUUUGAAUUUUAGUGGGGUAGAGGUCGGAUUGAUUUCGGAAUCCCCUGUUCUAACUUUGGAAAAUAAUUAAAAAUUUUACAAAAAUAAUUAUGAGUUAUAAUUUAUAUUCUUAGAAUUCUUAAUGAGUCUAUUUUUAAAGGAAACAAAUGUAAAUAUCAUCCGAAAUCUCUACAAUGAGAUAAUUCAUUUUUAGUGAAGAGAGGUCUGAGAUGUUGAGUAGUGAAACAGUGGAAUAUUUAAAGAAUAAACUGUACUAAUUGGCCAAGUAAAAAAUUCUUAAAAUUUUAUGGUAAUAAGACAUGCGAGUCUAGUUUUGGGAAAAAUUAACGGAACUUAAUUUUGAGCUCUGUAGCUUCGGAUAAAAAUGAUUUAGUGACUCUGACUCAAAUAGACAGCUUUGAAUUUAAAUAUAAGUGAAUAGUGAAAUUAUGUAUAAUGCUAAUUAAGCAUGUUUUAUACAUAAAGGAUGUGGAAUGCAGAGGAGGAGGAGGAUAAUAAAAUGUAUGAAUGAAUUGUGUAUAAAUGGUCAUAUGCCCGAUUAUAAUCGGUAAAUGUUAAAUUGAAUGGUAAAUAUGUAUUGAUACUGAAGGACUAUUGUGGUAUUGAAAAGCAAUUGAUCAAAUGUUUCAGAAAUUUAGUCAUGAUAUUUAUAUGUGUGAAAAUAAUGAUAUAUGGAUGAUUAUAUCAUUGAGGUUGCAUUGAUUAAUUUGGUUUAUGUGAUAGAAAUGUCAAGAACAUUGUCUUUGAUAUGUGAUGAUCAUGUAAUGCCAUGAAAAUUUGUUAUUGUGUGGUUUAAAAUGUAUCUAUAUUUUUUAUAUACUUAUUUUGUAACUAUUUGACAAAUGAUAAAAAUUAUUCGGGUUCUAUGUGAGGUGAAUUAUGAUUUGUGAAGCAUAUCUAUAUUCAGCAAUAAUGGAUAAAAUACAUUUAUGUCAUGGGUGAAUGGUUAAACACUUGGGUUAGUAUAAAGUGUAUAUUUAGUAAGGUUUGUUGGAAAAGAAAUAACAGGUUUUGGUUUAUAUCGAAUAGAGAAAAUUUGUACUAUCUUUGUGGCUAAUUUUGUUAGCUUUGUGGGAGAUGAAUGGAUAAUGUAUAUAUAUGUGACAAUUAGCUUACUAAAUAGUGAGUAAUUGAUAUAUUACAUUAGUUAAAAAGGAAAUUUUGACGAUAUGAGAAUAUGUAAUGAUACGGAUAAAUUUAGGUACUCAGGACGAAUUCAACAAGUAAGUGAAAUUUUAUAAAUUCAUAUAACGAGAAAGUGAAAGAUUGUGAGUAUAUUUAGCCAAGAAAACCCUAAUUAACGACUCGAGAAUAACAACUUGAAAGUUUUAAUUUAGAUGAAAUUUUACAACUUGGUUUACUACGGUUAAAAGUGUAUAUGUUCUGGUAAUACCUCGUACCCUAUUCCGGCAUCGAAUACGGGUAAGGGGUUUUACAUUAAUUUAAUUUGAUAACUCAUAUUGAUUAAUUGAAUUUGUUAGAUUUAUUAACUUCAUAAUUAAUCAUGUGAAGAAUGUAAAAUAAAAUAUGCAUAAAAAUAAUAAUGUAUGCACCUAUUAUACAUAUUUUAAUUUUGUUGAUUUGAUUCUCACUUUUCUUUUUUUUAAACAUAAUUUCUGUAAUGUUCCAAAAACCUUAGUCUCUGUUUUGUUAAUUUUGUCAUAAAUUAAUGUAUGUUUCAAGGGUUAAGGGCUUUGUUGGGUUGUUGGAGGUAUUGGGUUUUAGCUCUUGUGUGUGCAAUUAGGAGUUAAUUUUUGUUAGUGUUUUGCUUGGGCCGCAUAACAGGUUGUUGGAGUUAAGUUGGGAUAGUUAAAAAUCUUGGAAGUUGUUGGAUAGGUAUGGCUUAGUGGGAUAGUGGAUGGAUAGGAAUUGACUUGUUAGUUUGUUUUAUUUAGUUAUUUAAAAAAAAUGAUAAUAGAAGAUAUUUCAUUCUCUCUAGUUUCACGUCACUUUAGUUUUUCCUAUUCUGUUCACAAAAUCUUUUUUUUUUAUUCCUUUUCUUUCUUUUCACGUAGGUUUGGAAAAGGGGGUAACAAAUCGUUCUUUUGGUUUCUUGAUUUUUAAUGUCAAAGCCUCUUUAUUUUACUAUUCAAAGAUCGGUAGUGGUGCUAAUCGAGUAGGUUUCAACGAGACUCGUGUGUAAGUUUUGACUUUCUCUUUUCUCAUUGCGGAUUUAUCCGUAGUUAGUUUGCAAUUGUGUUGAGGGUAGUUGGUGGGAUGUAUCAAUAUUAAUUGAUUAUUUUGUUUGUAGGUGACGAACAUGAGAAUCGAAAAUCCCCUCUUUUGAUUUAAUUGUUUUAGGGGCUGCUGUGAACGUGGGUAAGUAUUCGAACAUUUAUAUGUUUAAUUUUAGUCGGAAUUGCUCAUGUUUGUGUUUUAUUCAAGUGAGUGGCUUGCUAAAAAUUGAGGCAUUAAGGAUUGAUUUUGGGUGAUUUAUUGUCUAUUUUAGGUACUAUUUUCUUCAUGAAUAUGGUGGUAUCGAAAUCGAAUCAGGUGUGUAUCGAAAAAUAUGAAAAAUAGUGAUCGGCGAAAGUCGAAAAAGUUCACUGUCGACGCCACACGACCGUGUGCCAGACUGUAUGACAGACCAUUUGCAAGACCAUGUGUGACAUACGGGCUAGGCUAUUUGGGCCGUGUAGGCCCAAAAUUCUAAAAUAUUCCCUAGGGCCGUGUUUUAUACUCAUAUGGUGUGUUGAGAUGGUCGAAGAUGGUAUGUAGCGGUUGGGGGUAGGAUUAUAUGUUGUAUCUGUUAUGUUUAUUAUAAAUAUGUUUCUAAUAAAUCUGUCUAAUAUGCAUCUAACUGCUUUAAGUUAUUCGAUAUACAUUGAGUUUAAAAAACUCAUUCUCUGUUUGUCUGUCACUUUCAGGUAAUUCACAGACUUAGGUCGGGCGGUGUGACGGGAGCUUGGUUAUAUUAGUAUUUCAUUUUUUUCAACUAUUUAAAGUUGGAUUUUAGCUUUUUGUAAAAUUUGGAUUGUUUUGGACAUUUUGGGAUUGUCUUAGUUUUGGAUUUUAUUUUCGAUUUUCGUAUGAUACUCGUAAAAUGAUUACGAAAAUGAUUGUUUUCCUGCAAACAAUCGGUUUCGAGAAAACAAACUUUGUUUUCCAAAAUAUAAUGACCUAAGAAUUUUCGUUGUAAAGUUUUCGUUUUAUUUUGAAGAUGUAAAUAAACAACAUUUUCAAUUAAAUAGUUAUAUCAAAUACUUUUUUUUAAUAAAACAGGUUUUUAGGUAACAAAAGUUUACUAUGUUUUUCAAAAUAUACGGGAACCGGAUUUACUACUGUUUUACGUAGCAUCUCCAGAUUUAGUCAUAACGUUCAUACCGGGUUUGGGGUGUUACAAUUUUUCAUUUUCUUUAUUUUACGAAAAUUUACUAUAUAAAUUUUAUGGUGGGCUUACAAUAAUUCUCUCUAUAACAGUAUAUUGUUAUAGGUGUAUAAUAAUCGCCUUUCUAUAGCAGGCAAAAUCUUGGCAAACAAAUGAGAUUGUUAUAGAGAGAGUUGAUUGUGCUAUAAUUUCUAAUAUAAUUUGGUCAUUAUAUUUUUAUAAUGAUACUAGUUAGGCCAAAUAGUUAAUAUAGUUAAUUUUUCGAUUAAAAUGUUACCUAUUUGUAUAUAAUUUAUGCCCUAUGGGUC